AACGAACGCUGGCGGCAUGCCUAACACAUGCAAGUCGAACGAGACCUUUGGGUCUAGUGGCGCAAGGGUGCGCAACGCGUGGGAACCUGCCCUUAGGUUCGGAAUAACUCCCCGAAAGGGGUGCUAAUACCGGAUAAUGUCUUCGGACCAAAGAUUUAUCGCCUUUGGCUGGGCCCGCGUUGGAUUAGCUAGUUGGUAGGGUAAAAGCCUACCAAGGCGACGAUCCAUAGCUGGUCUGAGAGGAUGAUCAGCCACACUGGGACUGAGACACGGCCCAGACUCCUACGGGAGGCAGCAGUGGGGAAUAUUGGACAAUGGGCGAAAGCCUGGUCCAGCAAUGCCGCGUGAGUGAUGAAGGCCUUAGGGUUGUAAAGCUCUUUUACCCGGGAUGAUAAUGACAGUACCGGGAGAAUAAGCUCCGGCUAACUCCGUG
rnacentral:rRNA from 1 species